rnacentral:rRNA from 1 species
UUAGAGUUUGAUCCUGGCUCAGAAUGAACGCUGGCGGCAUGGAUUAGGCAUGCAAGUCGAACGGGAUCCCCUCGGGGAUCUAGUGGCGAAAGGGUGAGUAACACGUGAGUAAUCUGCCCUCUGAUCUGGAAUAAGCACUGGAAACGGUGUCUAAAACCGGAUGAGGUUACUGGACCGCAUGGUACGGGUACCAAAUAUUUAUAGUCAGAGGAUGAGCUCGCGGCCCAUUAGCUUGUUGGCGGGGUAAUGGCCCACCAAGGCUACGACGGGUAGGUGGUCUGAGAGGAUGGUCACCCACACUGGGACUGAGACACUGCCCAGACUCCUACGGGAGGCUGCAGUCGAGAAUCUUCCGCAAUGGGCGCAAGCCUGACGGAGCGAUGCCGCGUGAGGGAUGAAGGUCUUCGGAUUGUAAACCUCUGUCAUCAGGGACGAUAAUGACGGUACCUGAAAAGGAAGCCACGGCUAACCACGUGCCAGCAGCCGCGGUAACACGUGGGUGGCGAGCGUUAUUCGGAUUCACUGGGCGUAAAGGGUCCGCAGGGGGCCUGCCACGCCUGCCGUGAAAGCCCAUGGCUCAACCAUGGGACUGCGGCGGGUACGGGCGGGCUGGAGUACAUGAUGGGUAGAUGGAAUUCCAGGUGUAGCGGUGGAAUGCGUGGAUAUCUGGAAGAACACCGAUGGCGAAGGCGAUCUACUGGCAUGUCACUGACCCUCAGGGACGAGAGCGUGGGUAGCGAACAGGAUUAGAUACCCUGGUAGUCCACGCCGUAAACGUUGUGCGCCAGAUGCGGGCGAGUCGGCCUCGUCCGUGUCCAAGCUAACGCGGUAAGCGCACCGCCUGGGGACUACGGCCGCAAGGCUAAAACUCAAAGGAAUUGACGGGGGCCCGCACAAGCGGUGGAGCAUGUUGCUUAAUUCGAGGCAACGCGAAGAACCUUACCCAGGUUUGACAUGGUAUGGACCGCCGGUGAAAGCCGGCUUCCCUUCGGGGCCGUACCACAGAUGCUGCAUGGCUGUCGUCAGCUCGUGCCAUGAGGUGUUCGGUUAAGUCCGGCAACGAGCGCAACCCAUGCUGCCAGUUACCAUCAAGUGAAGUUGGGGACUCUGGCAGGACUGCCCGUGUCAAGCGGGAGGAAGGCGUGGAUGACGUCAAGUCAGUAUGGCUCUUACAUCUGGGGCCGCAAACGUGCUACAAUGGCAGGUACAAUGGGCUGCUGGACCGCGAGGUCCGGCCAAUCUCUAAAACCUGCCCCAGUUCGGAUUGCAGCCUGCAACUCGGCUGCAUGAAGCCGGAAUCGCUAGUAAAGGGGUAUCAGCUACGAUCCCUUGAAUACGUUCCCGGGCCUUGUACUCACCGCCCGUCA